rnacentral:rRNA from 1 species
GACUAACGCUGGCGGCGCGCCUAACACAUGCAAGUCGCACGAGGAACCCUCCGCAAGGAGGGCAGUAAAGUGGCGAACGGGUGAGUAAUACAUGGGUGACCUGUCCUCAAGAUGGGAAUAACCUCGCGAAAGCGGGGCUAAUACCCAGUGCCAUUUCGAUCCUUCGGGAUCGGAAUGAAAGAUAGCUGUUACAGGCUGUUGCUUGAAGAGGGGCCCAUGCCCCANCAGCUAGUUGGUAGGUAACGGCCUACCAAGGCUAUGACGGGUAGCUGGUCUGAGAGGACGACCAGCCACACUGGCACUGAGACACGGGCCAGACUCCUACGGGAGGCAGCAGUGAGGAAUCUUGCGCAAUGGAC